AAAACUAUAGUUUGUUAACAAGUCGCUCUGGAUAAGAGCGUCUGCUAAAUGACUUAAA
rfam:Salmo salar isolate Sally breed double haploid chromosome ssa05, whole genome shotgun sequence.